rnacentral:rRNA from 1 species
ACUCCUACGGGAGGCAGCAGUGGGGAAUAUUGCACAAUGGGGCGCAAGCCUGAUGCAGCCAUGCCGCGUGUAUGAAGAAGGGCCUUCGGGUUGAUAAAGUACUUUUCAGCAGGUGAGGAAGGUGGGUAUGUUAAUAGCAUACUCAUUUUGACGUUAGCUGCAGAAGAAGCACCGGCUAACUCCGUGCCAGCAGCCGCGGUAAUACGGAGGGUGCGAGCGUUAAUCGGAAUUACUGGGCGUAAAGCGCAUGCAGGUGGUUUGUUAAGUCAGAUGUGAAAGCCCGGGGCUCAACCUCGGAAUUGCAUUUGAAACUGGCAAAGCUAGAGUACUGUAGAGGGGGGUAGAAUUUCAGGUGUAGCGGUGAAAUGCGUAGAGAUCUGAAGGAA